rnacentral:rRNA from 1 species
UACGUAGGUGGCAAGCGUUGUCCGGAUUUACUGGGCGUAAAGAGCGCGCAGGCGGUCGUUCAAGUCGAGUGUGAAAGCCCCCGGCUCAACUGGGGAGGGUCAUUCGAUACUGAUCGACUGGAAGGCAGGAGAGGGAAGCGGAAUUCCCGGUGUAGUGGUGAAAUGCGUAGAUAUCGGGAGGAACGCCGGUGGCGAAAGCGACUGUCUGGGGUGCCUGUGACGCCGAGGCGCGAAAGCCAGGGGAUCAAACGGG